GAGGGAUUGUGUGUGAGCACAAGGGCCUGCAUAUGCACGUGUACAUGUGCAAGGGGGGUGCCUGGACCUGUGCCCACCUGGCCCGUGCAUUGCAGGUAUAGGGCUGUCUGUGUAGUGUGUGCGUGUCUCUGUAUGUGCAGGGAGAAGGUUCCCCUGAGCACGGGGCCGUGUGUGCCCGUGUCCUGGGGGUGCAGCCCCCUCUUCAGCAGAGUCUGCUCUGCAUUAAACGCAAACUCUCUUGGGGACUCUGGACUCCUUCCACAGGAAUAAUCAGAAUUCUGUGCAGUACCGACCGGCAGUCGGGAGGGGCCGCCAAGAUUCCUGCACGGUCCCGGCCUCCGCCUAGGGAUGGGAAGGACGUCGUCUCCUCACGAAGCCAAGGACUGCUGUGGAAAGAGCGGCGUGAAGAACCAGGCCGUUUUGCUCUGCACAUUCAUUGCACAGACUCUCCAGCUCCGUGUGCCCAUGUGAGCUCCUGGCAUCAGCUCUGACAGCCACCAGGGUGGCUGCAGGAAGCGCCGGCGCCUCGGACGGAGCAUGGGAAGAGACUUAGCGAUGCACGUCUGCAGAGGUUUGAUUGCAGCGUCAGCACUUUGCGAUAAAUAAGUGGACUUGGAGGUCUGCGGUGCGGGCGCUCGGCUCUAGAAGGUUCGCCGCCCUUGGUCUGGAGUGGUCAGUGCAAGUGCCGGCAAGUGCCCCAACUUCACGACAGCAUCUUUUAUUAUACAGACUACUUGAAUUUAAUUAUAGAGGCACAUUUCCUUUAUGUUUACCUUUGCCAUUUUAAAUAUGAUGUUUUCCUUUAUUCCAAAACCAUGCAGAUAUUCCUUUUAAAAAACUAUGUGUAUAUGAUUACGGCAAAGUGCACAUAAGAUAUACCAGUUAAUUUUUGUUUUUUU